UACGGGGGGGGUAAGCGUUGUUCGGAAUUACUGGGCGUAAAGGGUCUGUAGGUGGCUUGCUAAGUCAGACGUGAAAUCCCUCAGCUUAACUGGGGAACUGCGUCUGAGACUGGCGAGCUUGAGUGCAGGAGAGGAACGCGGAAUUCCAGGUGUAGCGGUGAAAUGCGUAGAUAUCUGGAGGAACACCGGUGGCGAAGGCGGGUCUCUGGGCCGAUACUGACGCUGAGGAGCGAAAGCGUGGGGAGCGAACAGG
rnacentral:rRNA from 1 species